rnacentral:rRNA from 1 species
UAUGAAAAUUCUAAGGCGCUUGAGAGAACUCAGGAGAAGGGACUCGGCAAAUUGACACCGUAACUUCGGAAGAAGGUGUGCCCUGGUAGGUUGUAGCCGUACAGGCGAAGGCCGAAGGGGUUGCAAAAAAUCGGUGGCUGCGACUGUUUAAUAAAAACACAGCACUCUGCAAACACGAUGAGUGGACGUAUAGGGUGUGACGCCUGCCCGGUGCCGGAAGGUUAAAUGAUGGGGUGCAAGCUCUUGAUUGAAGCCCCGGUAAACGGCGGCCGUAACAAUAACGGUCCUAAGGUAGCGAAAUUCCUUGUCGGGUAAGUUCCGACCUGCACGAAUGGCGUAACGAUGGCCACACUGUCUCCUCCUGAGACUCAGCGAAGUUGAAAUGCUUGUGAUGAUGCAAUCUACCCGCGGCUAGACGGAAAGACCCCGUGCACCUUUACUGUAGCUUUGCAUUGGACUGUGAUGGGAUCUGUGUAGGAUAGGUGGGAGGCUUUGAAGUGGGGGCGCUAGCCCUCAUGGAGCCGUCGUUGAAAUACCACCCUGAUGUCAUUGCGGUUCUAACCUUGGCCCCUUAGCGGGGUUGGGGACAGUGCAUGGUAGGCAGUUUGACUGGGGCGGUCUCCUCCCAAAGAGUAACGGAGGAGCUCGAAGGUACGCUAGGUACGGUCGGACAUCGUGCUGAUAGUGCAAUGGCACAAGCGAGCUUGACUGCGAGACUGACAAGUCGAGCAGGUGCGAAAGCAGGACAUAGUGAUCCGGUGGUUCUGAAUGGAAGGGCCAUCGCUCAACGGAUAAAAGGUACGCCGGGGAUAACAGGCUGAUUCCUCCCAAGAGUUCAUAUCGACGGGGGAGUUUGGCACCUCGAUGUCGGCUCAUCACAUCCUGGGGCUGUAGCCGGUCCCAAGGGUAUGGCUGUUCGCCAUUUAAAGUGGUACGUGAGCUGGGUUUAAAACGUCGUGAGACAGUUUGGUCCCUAUCUGCCGUGGGCGUUGGACGUUUGAGGGGGGCUGCUCCUAGUACGAGAGGACCGGAGUGGACGCACCUCUGGUGUACCGGUUAUCACGCCAGUGGUAUUGCCGGGUAGCUAAGUGCGGAAGAGAUAAGCGCUGAAAGCAUCUAAGCGCGAAACUUGCCUCGAGAUGAGACGUCCCGUGAUGUAAGUCACCUAAAGGGUCGCGGUAGACCACCGCGUUGAUAGGUCGGGUGUGGAAGCGCAGUAAUGCGUUAAGCUAACCGAUACUAAUUGCCCGUGCGGCUUGAUCC